GAUCUACCAUUUUGAUAACAAGCCUUUUAUAGUCAAGGCUUGACAUGAGGACAUGGAAUCACAAGAGAUGAGCUCUAUCUAGUCCCAGCUCUUCGGUGAAAUGCUAGAGGUUUGAAUACCCCUAACAAACAGAAAGAGGUCAUGCUCUUUUUCUAAAAAGAAUGUGUUGGUUCAGUAGCUUUGCUAGAAACUGAAGUAAGGGUAAAUAGAAUUGAG
rnacentral:lncRNA from 1 species